UGAGGAAUAUUGGGCAAUGGGCGCAAGCCUGACCCAGCCAUGCCGCGUGAAGGAUGAAUGCCCUAUGGGUUGUAAACUUCUUUUGUACGGGACGAAACUCCUGGUCGUGACCGGGAUUGACUGUACCGUACGAAUAAGCAUCGGCUAACUCCGUGCCAGCAGCCGCGGUAAUACGGAGGAUGCCAGCGUUAUCCGGAUUCCUUGGGUUUAAAGGGUGCGUAGGCGGAAUAAUAAGUCAGUGGUGAAAGCAUGCGGCUUAACCGUAGAAAUGCCAUUGAUACUGUUAUUCUUGAGGAUAGUUGAGGUGGGCGGAAUGUGUAAUGUAGCGGUGAAAUGCUUAGAUAUUACACAGAACACCAAUGGCGAAGGCAGCUCACUAAGCUGUUACUGACGCUGAGGCGCGAAAGCGUGGGGAGCAAACA
rnacentral:rRNA from 1 species